GGAUUAGAUACCCUGGUAGUCCACGCUGUAAACGAUCAUUACUCGCUGUUGGCAAUACAUCGUCAGCGGCUAAGCGAAAGCGUUAAGUAAUGCACCUGGGGAGUACGUUCGCAAGAAUGAAACUCAAAGGAAUUGACGGGGGCCCGCACAAGCGGUGGAGCAUGUGGUUUAAUUCGAUGAUACGCGAGGAACCUUACCAGGGCUUAAAUGUAGUAUGACCUUCCCCGAAAGGGGAAUUCUCUUCGGAGCAAAUUACAAGGUGCUGCAUGGUUGUCGUCAGCUCGUGCCG
rnacentral:rRNA from 1 species